rnacentral:rRNA from 1 species
ACCUGACAGCCCAGUACAUUCGCUGUCCGCCUGGGAACUACGAGCGUAAGCUUAAAACCCAAAGGACUUGACGGUGCUUUACAUCCACCUAGAGGAGCCUGUCCUAGAACCGAUAAUCCCCGUUGAACCUCACCUUUUCUUGCUUAUUCCGCUUAUAUACCGCCGUCUCCAGCCUACCCUGUAAAGGACCUAUAGUAGACAAAAUUGGUGUAACCCUAAACGACAGGUCGAGGUGUAGCGUAUGAAAAGGAAAGAGAUGGGCUACAUUCAGUGAAACACUGAAUACGGAAAAUUAAUUGAAACAUUAACCUGAAGGAGGAUUUAGUAGUAAGCGGGG